UACGUAGGGUGCAGGCGUUAAUCGGAAUUACUGGGCGUAAAGCGUGCGCAGGCGGUCUUUUAAGUCAGAUGUGAAAUCCCCGGGCUUAACCUGGGAACUGCGUUUGAAACUGGAAGGCUUGAGUGUGGCAGAGGGGGGUGGAAUUCCACGUGUAGCAGUGAAAUGCGUAGAGAUGUGGAGGAACACCGAUGGCGAAGGCAGCCCCCUGGGCUAACACUGACGCUCAUGCACGAAAGCGUGGGGAGCAAAAGGG
rnacentral:rRNA from 1 species